UACGUAGGUGGCAAGCGUUGUCCGGAUUUACUGGGCGUAAAGAGCGCGCAGGCGGUCGGCCAAGUCGAGUGUGAAAGCCCCCGGCUCAACUGGGGAGGGUCAUUCGAUACUGGUCGACUCGAAGGCAGGAGAGGGAAGCGGAAUUCCCGGUGUAGUGGUGAAAUGCGUAGAUAUCGGGAGGAACACCAGUGGCGAAGGCGGCUUCCUGGCCUGUUCUUGACGCUGAGGCGGCGAAAAGCU
rnacentral:rRNA from 1 species